CUGAUCCAGUAGGACUUGUGUUCCCCCAUAAAGGGGAAUCUGUACGCAGAUGCAGACAUGGGGAGCAGAAGGCCGCGUGAGGAGGAAGGCAGAGAUGGGGAACACGGCCAAAAGUCGGGGAAUACCAACGAUAGCCAGGGGCCGCCAGAAGCUGGUGAGGAGCGUGGACAGAUGCUCCCUCGGCCUCAGGAGGAACCAGCCAGCGGCAUCUUGACCUCGUGCUUCCUGCCUCCAGAACCAGGAGAGAACGCACGCUGUGGCUCCUUGUUCCCGAGCCCCGGGGCCUGCCCACCUGGGCCCAGGCCCAUCCUGACAGGAGGUGCCUCCCACUGCAGAGGAGGAGGCAGAGGGCCCGAGUGCCCAGCCUCGACCAAGGACACGCAGUGACCCGGGAUCGGCCUCCAGACCUGCCCGCUCCCACCCGCCUCACGUGCCGCCAGCUCUGGAGUUUCUGUUUGGCCCACGGACCCUGCAUCCGUCUCCUGCCUCCAGAGCCUCCUGCCCUUUCCCUGCCUCGUGCUGCAGAGUGCAACCCCGCCUGCUCCCAGAGCACCGCGUAAAAUGUGUGCGCGCGUGAAAGUGUUUGAAAACCGCACAGAGCAGCACCACACGCGGGCGCGUUCCGGAAUCGGGGCAUGCUCGCCUCCUGCCGCACAUGAGCUCCUCCGUCCCCGUGAGAGACAGGUGGCCCCUCGAAGCCCCAAGCUGCCCUGUGGGAUGUGGCCCAGCCCGUCGUGAAUGGAACAGAGGCCUUUUGUUGUGCUGAGAUUUCCAGGGCUGAGCUGGCUCCGUGUGCUGAGUGAUCCUGUCCUGUAGAGGGGGGACGCCUGGCCUGCGUCCAGCGGGGGACAGAAGGGAUCUGUGUCAUGCUGGGUCCACAUCACAGCGCAGUGACGGUGGGAAAGCGGGGCGUCCGUUCACAACUGCUGGACUUGCGUGAAUGAGCUUCACUUUUCCCAAGCAGCCAAACUGUCGCUGCGUGACGAAAGUUCCCUGCCUGCCAGGGUCAUCGCAUUUAGGUUUAAAUAAAAGUAUGAAAGAACCAGAAGGGAUGGCAAAUUCUUUUUUCUUACUCUCCUUCAGCAAAGCUGAAUGGAAUAACUGAGAGCAAAUCCUGCUCUUCAAAACCGCG
rnacentral:lncRNA from 1 species